rnacentral:tRNA from 1 species
AAGACUUUAAGUUAACGAAACUAAUAUCCUUCAAAGCUAUCAAUGAAAGAAGACCUUUUAAGUCUUA